UAAGCCUGAAAGUCAGACCUAAGUGACACAGCUCUCCUUGCACUUGUAAUUCCCAGGAAUUGCUAUUCAGAGGCAUUCAGCCUAUGGCAGAACAUAGUCAUCAUGGCACAUAACUAUUGAAGGCUUUUAUCAUGGCACACCAAGAAGGAACAAAGGAAGUGGUGGUGUAGAUGGCACAAGGCUCGUGUUAUGUCUGAACUGGGUGGGCCAAUGUGUCUCAUAAUGUGGCAGGAGUAUCUUCUAGCAGGAAUGGGCGGAACUGCGUCUCCAUACACUCUGGAAAUAGAUUUACCUGAUGGUUUCUGGAUGGCCAGAAAUUUAAUCUGGAGUGGCUCUCAUGGGAUAGCUCAGUUAGUAGAGCAGCAAUGAUGCCAUCGCUAUUCUCCAAAUUCUGGAGCCAAAGAACACUGCCCUCCAUAUUGAUUGGCUUGAUGCUCACGAGAAGCUUAAAAGCAGGACAAAGAGACUGGAGUCCUCUCUUUUAGCAUGUCCUGCAUAUUGGCGCCCAGGGGUAUACUACCUCUGAACUGAAGGAAGAUUCAUUCAGCUGUUGUGGUUAGGAGUGGUUGAUAGACUUACUGUUCUGUAUGAACCAUGGAAAUAAACAAGCAGAUGAUUUAUUAUCUUUUUCUGACCUAGUACCAAAAUUGCUAUUAAAUUCUAACCAUGAUGAAGUCAAAAGGAGCUGAAAAGGAGUUCAGCAUCAUACAGAAUUUUCUCUCUGAAAGGCCGUUUCCAUUCAGCUGCAGCUAUCGUUCUAGUCCAAUAAGAGUUGUGUUGUUCCAGUCCAUAUGACAAUAUGGUUCUGAGUGUAGCUUUUGUGCACUGACAAAAAUGCAACUUUGCAUGUGAACUUGACAUGUUUAACUUCUUGGCCUUUUUUGAAAUUAUACUCUGACAUUAAGUUUUACUUUUUGUGGCUAAUGAAAUUACCAGGAGGGAACAACCCCAUGUAAAUAACAAAAUCCUAUAAUUCUUCUUUGGCCAUUGUGUUCUUUUUUUGCUAUUCAUAGUGUUGAGGGCCAUAGAUACUAGAUAUACUUACGUAAGACUUAACGAACAGUAAUUAUCUUUUGGCGAAAGAGAAAGCCCAAACAAAUGCUAAACUGCAUUAUCGUUUGGCUUCUGACAUGAGCUGAUAAUCAGAUUUUCUUGCUUAAAUCCACGGUGCUUGAACAAUGCUACCCACUGUCUGUCCUUCCCGAUAUUACCCUAAUUAGAAAGAACAGAAACACAAAUCUGAAUUAUUUCAAAAUCUGGUUUCCAUGGUCAAUGGUUUGAUGGGUUUAACUUUAUUACAAAUAAACCUGGUUUUAUAGACUAAUGAAAUCUGAAAUGCUAGAGAAAAGAUAGAUGCUACAGUACCAGAAUGGCGUUUAUCCAGUGAACUAUCUAGUAUGGGCAAAGUGUUUUGCAAUAAAUAAUUAAGUAAUUGAUUUAUGAUUGCUUACUCCAAGCCCCAUAUAAACAGAAGGAUACAAGGAUGAUCAGAAACUGUGAAACUAGGCUACCAUACUUUAGGUUAAACUUUAGAUGUAAUAGGUUAUUAUCAGCAUUGUUAUCAUGAUUACAAGGUUUUUCAUUUAUUUUAAGGUACUGUCACAGGGUCAAGUGUCUUGCAUAUAUCCAUGGUGCUUCUAUGAUAGCCACUUUCUCCAGUGUUAAAUGUUUUGAUGUGUCUGAUUUCAGAUGUUUUUAAUUUUUGCUGGUUACAUCAGCAGGCUGUUUCUUCUGCCUGGCAAAUCACAAAAGGGCAAAUUCUGAAUCAGGGCAGAAGAAACCUUCUGGAAAUCCUAGCAGGCUUAAAGUCAGUAACAGCUAGUUUAGAUAUAAUUUUAAACCUUAGGUAAGCUUGGUGCUGUUUUUCUAGGAAAAAGAGGUGCUGGAACUCACCAUAAACGCCUCCCUUGUUCUCUUAUAAUGGUAAUGGCACCCACCUGAGAGGUGCUGGAACUGAGUUCCAGUGAGUUCUGGCUUUAAAAAGGCCCUGGACUGUAAUCUUAGCUAUGGUUUAUAGGUGAAUGUGCAGCAUGCUGGUGCACAGGGCUUUGCUUAAAUUGUGGCUGCUUUCCUCCACACCUGCUCCUAUUGUUGCCAGGUGGCAUGCCCCAAUGAGUCCUCUCAGGGGUUAGGAUCCCAUCCCAGGGAGGCAGAAGCCUUCUAUCCAAAGCAUAAACAUGCAUUUGUGAUGCUGGCAUAGCAGUGUCCAAAACAAGUGAAGUUAAAGCAUCCUGUGGGUUCACCUUCAAAUGAUAGUAAAGCUAAACGCGGUUUAAAGCAAUGCACAAAUAAGGCCCUUGUUUCCUUGCAAGACCUGAGACAUCCUUACAUUUGUAGGGUAGGUAGUUUAAAAAAAAAAUAUUAGUCUAACCAGGCUGUUUAAGAAGCUAGGGCCACUUUGGCAACAAGGAACAGAAAGUACCUGUUGGUGGUGGAGAGUAUAGCCACCUCCCACCUUUUCCUAAGUCCCUCUCCCAUCUUUUCCAGAUCCAGGAGCUGCCUCUUAUAUUUGUUCUUUUUUUAAAAAAAAGAGUAGUGGCUCAGAAGCACAAGUGAUCUCACAGGAGUUGAACAGAAUUGACGUCCACGCUGUCUGUGGGCUGUUGUCCAGCCCUCCCCUAUAGCCUGUGGGUUAACUUACUUAUCUACUCUGAAGCACCUUGUUCACUUCCAAGCUCUGCCUGCUGCACAGUCUGGCCCAGAUUGCUGGUUAAUCUAUGAGAGCUGAUGUGCUUCUGAAUGGCAACACUGCCUUAGGGCCUUGGCCUUCUGCUUUUAUGCAGGGCCAUUGUUCUCUGAUUCUAAUUUCAGGACUUCAGCAUUAACCAAUAUUCUUGUUAAUGAACCAAUACAUUACCUAGGAUAUUUCCCAGGUACAUAUUGAUUGCUUACCUUGCCACGUGAUGUUUCAUGAAAACUAAAUUGAAAUUCUGUGUGCACCCAUCACACAGAGUUAACAUAAUAACUCUUAAAUGAGAGCGCAGUCGACGUUGGCUAACUGCAGCAGUUUUCAGUUCAAUUGUAGGUAUGCUUUUUGAGAAAGGGAGAGAGAGUAAUAAAGCAAUUUAAUUUUCUUUUUUAGAAAAAAUAUAUGCAAGCUAUAACAUAUAUAAUUGAGAUUGAUUUUUGUAUGUAGUAAGAUCUCUGGGAUGGCAGCCACUGUUUUGCCACGGAGGGUACUCAAGGAGCAAUCAUCUUAAUGAAACUUUUGCUUGCUGUUUUAAAAGUAUUUUCACUUAUACUUUAGUCGGGGUGGUUAUCUUUCAUGAUUACUCAGUUUUUCUUCUAUCCAUCUCACUUUCUUUAGAUAAAGAUGGCUUGGGCCAGGAGAAUCCAAAACAAAAAAGGCAAUUGAUAUGAAUUUUUUAAUGGCCCCCAUCCUUUUGAAUCUGGUUCUAGCUUUUUUGUUUUUUUCUUUUACAGUUAGUAUUACCAGGUUGCAAGUGGAAGGUCCUGUGCUGAACUUUUAAAUUCUACAAGGCAGCAUGAGAUGAGGUUGCCAGGGCUGGCUCCAGGUUUGUGGAGGCUCUUAGCAGCCCUCGGCAUGGUGUCUUGAGGAGCCCCAUUUCAGCCCCUCCCUUUCUAAUAUUUCCACCAUAAGAACAGAAGAAAAACCUUGCUGGAUCAGCCCAAAGGUCCAUCUAGUCCAACAUCCUGCUUUUUGCAGUUACCAGUCACAUGCCUAUGGAAGACCUGAGUGCGGCAGUGCUCUCCCCACCUACAAUUUCCAGCAACCGAUGUUCAGAGGCAUAGAGCCUCUGACAAGCAGAGGUAAAACAUAGCUACCAUGUCUAGUAGCCACUGAUAUCCUAACCCUCUUUUUAAAGCCAUCCAAGUUGAUGGUCAUUCAUUCAGUUUAUGCACUGGGUAUAGAAGUUAUUGGUUUGUCUAUCCUGAAUCUUCCAACGUUCAGUCUCAUUGAAUGUCCCUAAAUUUUAAUUUCAUGAGAAAUGAAAAAAAAGUUUUCCCUACCCACUUUCUCCAUGAUGUGCAUAAGUUUCUACUUAUGUUAUAACCUUUCCUUAUGGGGGAGUUGUUCCAGCCCCUUGAUCAUUUGGUCGCUUUUAAAAAGUCUUUCCCAGCAGUACAAUACCAUUUUUGAGAUGUGUUAGAAAUAUGUGCACUAUUCAGAAUGUGGUCGCACCACGGAUUUGUAUAAAUGGCAUUAUGAUAUUGUCAGUUUUAUUUUCAUCCCUUGCCUAUUGGUCCCUGCCAGUGUAUUCACCCUUUUCACAGCUGCUGCACAUCUUCAGCAAGCCAACCACUACAACCUAAAGGUCUUAGUCACCACUAGUUAAGACCCUAUAAGCAUAUAUGCAAAUUUAAGAUUAUUAUUUUUUUGCCCCAAUGUGCAUCACUAGAUUUAUUUAUUAAAUCAUUUUCUAUUCUGCUUAAUUUCCAUUGUCUUGAAGCGGUUCACAGGUUGCUCAGUAGAAGAAAGAUAACCUUGCUCACAUUAAUUUGCUUACAAGUUAAACUUGCUUACAAUAAAGGGAAAGAUCACACUUCCUUACAUUGAAUUGCAUUUGCCAUUUAACUGCCCAUUCAUCCAGUAAUGUGGUCUGGGUAACUGGACAUACAGGGAGGAGGACCGUGGUAGUAGAGGAAGUGGCACUCCUCCUCUGAGUGCUGGGUGACUAACACUGUAAUUCCCCAUGAUCCCUUGCGGAAUUGUAUUCAAUGCCUCCAGGGCAUUUUAUUCAAUUACAUCAUCAACCAUUUGGUGCUCACUGAAGCAUGAGUAAAGGAGGCCCAGAUGACUGGCAUUGGCAGUAGUGGGACUUUGGCAGUUUCCUAAGAUACUCACCCGCAACUCAGACAGGCGCUCCAAUAGGAUAUCAUGGUUGAUGGCAUCCUGAGGGAUAGCUCAGUUGGUAGAGCAUGAGACUCUUAAUCUCAGGGUUGUGGGCUUGAGUCCCAUGUUGAGUGAAAUAUUCUUGCACUGCAAGGGGUUGAACUAUAUAAUUCUUGUGGGCAUUUCCAACUCUACAGUUCUAUGAUGCAUUGCCUACUUACGCCAGCUGUAAAGGCAGACAUGGCUUCUCCACAGUGUUCUGCUUGUCACACCACACAGCUGAGGGAUGAAAGAACAGGAACAGGGGAAAGAGAGUGAGGGAGAAGUCACAACUGCUUCAUCUCUCACUUCAUUAGGACAUCUCUGGCUGCUGGAACCUUGCAGUCCUGGAAGCUUCCAGGAGGUGGCUACACAUGUGUACAUAUGUGUGUAGGCUGGUGAAUGUCAUUGUCUCCUUAAAAAAAAUUGAAUGAACUCUACCUCUUCAACCUACAUUGAUAAUUU